AACUGGUCUAUUGACGUUCUUGAUUCUGACCUGAAUCUGGACCCCUCCUGGGUAGGUACAAAACAAGGUUGCCCAUCUUGGGGAGCAAGAUGAGGCUUGGCAUGAGUUGUCCCUCUGUAUCCCCAGCACUGAACCAGCCCUAAGGAGGCAGUGAGUGCCUGCUUCCCUCCUGUGGCCUAAGUACUUCACCACCCGUGCAGACCCAGCUUAGUUAGGGCCUGUGGAGCUCAAGGCUUCUCAACAAAGCACUGGAGACUCUAGAGGAAGAAUGAAAACAAGAUGGUCUAAACAGAUUAAUCCUGAAUAAAGCAAAAACCAGAAUCCUGGACUCGCAUGUGUGGACUCUGGGACUUUUUCAAUCUGGAAGGUUUUUUGCUGGGAGUAGCCAAGAAACUCUCAUUGUAAUGAAUUCCUCACAUAAAGUCAGGAAAAUGGAAGUAAACCUAAUGUAUCUUAUGAGGGAAAACAGAUCAUCAUAACAAUGGAACCUCGGGGAGGCGUUUGCAGCAGGCAAGAUCUGAAUUUAAAGACGUGUGACUCAGUGGCUGUCCAGGAGAGAUGGAGGGAGGUCUGGUUCCAGAAGGGCAGAUGCUGGGAGCCUGGUUAUUAUUUGCAUCUGGCGUCCAUCACAGGGACAAUUCCUGACUUCUGUCUGCAGUGAUAAACAGCAGCCACAGGGGGCUGUAGUUUCCAUCACACUGGGUGCUCCUGGGCUUCAAUCCUUUCUGCUUGGCAGCCCAGAGGCUUAGGAGGGAAGGAAGGCAGACCACACCCACACGCAGCUCACCGCCCACUCUGGGUCUUCUCCUUGUGGCCCCAGAAGACAGGGGGUCUAACGCUAUUUUUAAGUUAGGAAAACUGAAGGACACACCUUUUUUUCUCUCCUUGACACCUUGAAACCCUCUUAAUUGUGUUUAGACACAAGCAGCGGCUUCCUCAUAGACAUCUGGAAUCUCUGGCUUGGGAUAAUAUCAAACAUUGAAAGCAUUCAGUUAGUUUUAUUUAACAUUGGGACUGCUCUUGUGUGUCCAAAAUGUGUGUGCUGUUUGAAACCAUUUUUCAUUGUCCACAAUGUAGAAGCUGCUUCCAAAGUCACUGUAAAUCCCCAGUCUCAAGGAAAGGCAGAAACUCUCGGAGGAUUUGAUUUUUUCAUCCCAAAACAGUGAGCUUUUGAACUGGCCUUCUGUGAGGGCAAACCCUAGGGGUUAGGGAUCGUGUUCGGAGGGGACAAGACCCGGGACAGCCCUGCACUUGCCAGUUGAUCUGUGAACUCUGAUGUCUCAUCCCUUUGUUCUUCCUUUCCUGGUAUGCCCUUGGGCACCACCUGUGGCCAGCCCGCCCCUCAUUCACUCAGAGAAAUACAUGCCACUGGAGCAGGGCAGCAGCUUGAACAGCAAACUCAGUCCACUUCCAGCACAGCCUUGAGGGCUGCAGGAGACAGAGGGACUCCAUCUCAGAGGGAAUUUGCUUGUCACACAGCAAAACCGGUGGUGCUCGAAAAGCAAAAGUGCCUUAACACAGUGACACUCGUCUCCAAGUGCAGAUUUAAACUCAAUGUCAUUCUAAGACCAAAACACCAUGAAAGGCAUUCACUUUAAAGUUGGAAAGGAAACAGUGAGGCAUUCUCACUCCUCUGUAAUAGUGAGCUGAUGGUUCUAGCAUGGCCAUCAUGCAAGGAAGUUCAAGGAAGGAGUGUUCAAGGAAGCCAGCCAGUGUGGUCCCAGCAUGCCACAGGUAGCUGUUGGAACUAGAAACCUGGCUGUGUGAUUAAGAAAUUCAAUUUUAAUUUCACUCAGUUUUAUUUAAGUGUUCAUAGCUCCACACGGUCAUCUCUGCCCCAUUAUACAGUGACAUGACAUCAUUAAAGACCCAAGAGAACUGAAGACAGCAUCAGCACCUUCAGGUACUUUGGGAUGAUCGUUCAUGCCUAGGAACUAGAGUCACAGUCUCUGCUAGACAAUGUUGCUAGACAAUAAGGGGGCUGUUAACUGGAUGUUUCGCAAUGAGCCCCUCCCUUAUUUUUCAAUUCUCAAUUACUUUUUUUAGUUAACAUACAAUUGAUGGGUUUUAUUGUGACAUUUUAUUUAUCAUUGUUCUCUUCUGUGUUCACUACCCCCAGCUAUAAAACCUCAACUUUUUACCAAUACCUUUGCCCAGAAUUCAAUGGUAACUAUUUAAAAUAUAGUCCUAGAGAAUUAGAGGGAUGGCUCAGAAGUUAAGAGCACAGUCUAUUCUUCCAGAGGACGAGUUCAGUUCCCAGCACCUACAUCAGGCAGCUCACAACCAUCUGUAACUCUAGCUCCAGGGAAUCAAACACACACACACACACACACACACACACACACACACAAUAAAUAAAUAAAUAAAUAAAUAAAUAAAUAAUCUUUUUAAAAUAAAAAUAUUCUGGGAAAAAUAUAAUGACAAACAAAAACUAUUGAGAACAAUUUGUGAAGACAUAUUAGUGACAUAAGAAAAAAACCUUAUGGGAAUAUAAAGAAAGUGAGAAUUGAUACAUGGUCUAGACCCCAGGCAUAGCGCGAUAUCUGGGAAAGAGGACCGGCUCCAUCGCCUCCAGCUGUUACUGUAACGUAUUAUACAACAUUCUGUGCCUUGGUUUUUCUCCGGGAAGCGCUCGUGACAGGAGUGUCUAUGUCAUAGGUUGUUAAGAGGCUUAGUGUGUCAGGUAGGACUCACAGCAUAGCCACCAACAGCUGCCCACUCCUGGCUACAGGUGUUACUUCAAUAUUACCAGUGACAUGUUGCUGUCACUAAACAGAGAAGUAACAGAGUCUUGUAAAGAUGUUACUGGCUUUAAAUUUAAUAUUUACUUUUUAAUACAAUCCUAGUGGACAUUCCCAUGGGAGCUUUUUAAGUUAGAACAAUAAUUUUAAAAUUUAUAUGGAAGAAUAAACUGUAAAAUUAGCCAAGUAAAAUGCAGAAACCUGCCUGAGCUGACUUUAGAAGAGAAAAGGAAAAAAAAAAAAGGUCAUUAAACAGUGUGUGCCUGGUAUAAUGGGCAAACAGCAAUAGCACAGAGCCCAAACAGAGCCAAACUCCACUAUGAACUUAGUGUUAAAUUAAGUGACCAUUUAGCUCAGCGGUGCUGGCACAGCUGGCUAACUGCUUAGAGAAAUGAUUAUAGUUGAUUUUUAUCUUGCACUUUACAGUUAAACAAAUUCCAGAUGAACUGAAAACUUUAAUGCGAACAUGAAAAUAUAAGAUUUCUAGAAAAGUAAAUGUUUGCCUAAUUAUCUAGGAGAUAAAAAUGUUAAACUAAAAAAGGACUAAGCUCUAAGGGGAAAGACUUGAUGGUGUAAGCACAUGUUUUCAAAUUCUCUUCUUACCAGCCCCAACAAAAA
rnacentral:lncRNA from 1 species